GGAAAUUGAAUGGGGAGCAGGAGGUGUUAUAUAUGCUUAAUCAAAAUAUUACUUUUGACUGAAUUUAUGUUAUAUAGAUUAUUUGUCGGUGUUUUGCUAAGUCUAGGUGGGUGCCAUUCAACCCAAUUCCUCCACAGAGAACGCUGCGACGUAGUUAUACUUGCCCCAAUCCAUCAGGCGACGCUCAAAUACCCUAGAAAUUCCCAUAAAAAAGAAGAAGCCUUAUUUGAUGUUUAAUCCUUGAACUUAUUAAAACAAUUAUUUAAAAGCUGAUAAGAAAUGGUCCAACUAUUAUAUAUUUAAAAUUUAAUCCGAUUUCUCAUGUGCAAAUCGAAUGAAUGAUUAAUAAGCUGAGAAUAAGAUUUGGAUAAAAGGAAUAAGAAAAAGAAAAAUGGGGUUGUGGAAAACUAAUAUGGUGAGCAAUUAUCUCAAAAGGUUUGAGUGCACGCAGAGGAGAAUAAACGUGGACGUAAGUUAUUGCAGCAAGUGGAAGGUGUGUCUGAGUUGAACUUGAACAACCGCUUGCUUCAGUUUCAGAUCACUUCAUUGGGGGGGUAUAGAGCAGCCAGCCAGCAUUGUCCUCUCCUGCUGUUGCAACCUUUGUUGACCAAAAUUAAGGGUAACCCACUGGCCCCGUAUUUUGUGGAAUACGAAAUGAUGUAGCUCCCUCCCAAACACAUUGCUACCAUUUAUAGCCCUAAAACAACUGCCAUGGGCUCAUUGAUGCUGGGUAAGGCUAAUCUUCAUUCAGUGCCGAGUUUAGCUACAUAGCUAGGAUCUUAUGGCCCAGACU
rnacentral:lncRNA from 1 species